CCUACGGGAGGCAGCAGUGGGGAAUUUUGGACAAUGGACGAAAGUCUGAUCCAGCCAUGCCGCGUGCGGGAAGAAGGCCUUCGGGUUGUAAACCGCUUUUGUCAGGGAAGAGAUCUUCUGGGCUAAUAACUCGGGAGGAUGACGGUACCUGAAGAAUAAGCACCGGCUAACUACGUGCCAGCAGCCGCGGUAAUACGUAGGGUGCAAGCGUUAAUCGGAAUUACUGGGCGUAAAGCGUGCGCAGGCGGUUAUGCAAGACAGAUGUGAAAUCCCCGGGCUCAACCUGGGAACUGCAUUUGUGACUGCAUAGCUAGAGUGCGGCAGAGGGGGGAUGGAAUUCCGCGUGUAGCAGUGAAAUGCGUAGAUAUGCGGAGGAACACCGAUGGCGAAGGCAAUCCCCUGGGCCUGCACUGACGCUCAUGCACGAAGACGGUGGGGAGGACGAACAAGGAGUAGUAUACCUACGGUACGUACCGACCGACCCGUAACCGACUGUCACUGUUGUUGGGUAGGUU
rnacentral:rRNA from 1 species